rnacentral:sRNA from 1 species
GGUUGGAUCACCUCCUUAACCGAAGCUCAAUCGAGUAAGUGUUCACACAAAUUGUUUGAUGAAGUAGAAAGACAAGAGUUCUUUAAAAAUUGAGAAAUAAUUGUGACAAGCAUCAAUAUAGUAGCGUUAUAUUGAAAGAUCGUAUCUAAGAUAUAUUAAGAAUAUUUUGGGUUAUAUGGUCAAGAGAAUAAGCGUGCACGGUGGAUGCCUUGGCAGUCAGAGGCGAUGAAGGACGUAGUAACCUGCGAUAAGCAUCGGUUAGCUGGUAAACAAGCUAUGAUCCGGUGAUUUCCGAAUGGGGGAACCCACUUACCAUAAGGUAGGUAUUACUUAUCUGAAUACAUAGGACAAGUAAAGCGAACCCGGGGAACUGAAACAUCUAAGUACCCGGAGGAAAAGAAAUCAAAUGAGAUUCCGUUAGUAGCGGCGAGCGAAAGCGGAUCAGCCCUUAAGUACUAUCAUUUCUAGCAGAAUAUUUUGGGAAGAGUAGCCAUAGAGGGUGAUAGCCCCGUAUGUGAAAGUGGUGAUAGUAUGAAAACGAGUAGGACGGGACACGUGAAAUCUUGUCUGAACAUGGGGGGACCAUCCUCCAAGGCUAAAUACUACUGACUGACCGAUAGUGAACCAGUACCGUGAGGGAAAGGCGAAAAGAACCCCUUUUAGGGGAGUGAAAUAGAUCCUGAAACCGUGUACGUACAAGCAGUGGAAGCCGUUUAUUUUUAGGAAUAGAGGGUGACUGCGUACCUUUUGUAUAAUGGGUCAGCGACUUACUUUUAGUGGCAAGCUUAACCGAUAGGGGAAGCGUAGGGAAACCGAGUCUUAAUAGGGCGAAUUAGUCGCUAGGAGUAGACCCGAAACCGGGCGAUCUAUCCAUGAGCAGGUUGAAGGUUGAGUAACAUCAACUGAAGGACCGAACCCACCGUCGUUGAAAAGCCGGGGGAUGACUUGUGGAUCGGAGUGAAAGGCUAAUCAAGCCCGGAGAUAGCUGGUUCUCCUCGAAAGCUAUUUAGGUAGCGCCUCACAUCUCACCCACGGGGGUAGAGCACUGUGCCGACUAGGGGCCCAUCCCGGGUUACCAAAUCGAUGCAAACUUCGAAUACCGUGGAGUGCAAUUGUGGGAGACAGACAGCGGGUGCUAACGUCCGUUGUCAAAAGGGAAACAACCCAGACCGCCAGCUAAGGUCCCAAAGUAUGGUUAAGUGGGAAACGAUGUGGAAAGGCUUAGACAGCCAGGAGGUUGGCUUAGAAGCAGCCAUCCUUUAAAGAAAGCGUAAUAGCUCACUGGUCGAGUCGGUCUGCGCGGAAGAUGUAACGGGGCUAAACCAUACACCGAAGCUGCGGGCAUACAUAGUAUGCGGUAGAGGAGCGUUCUGUAGGCUGAUGAAGGUCAAGCUGUAAGGCAGGCUGGAGGUAUCAGAAGUGCGAAUGCUGACAUGAGUAACGAUAAAGGGGGUGAGAAACCCCCUCGCCGUAAGNCCAAGGUUUCNUGCGCUACGCUAAUCGGCGCAGGGUGAGUCGGCCCCUAAGGUGAGGUCGAAAGACGUAAUCGAUGGGAAACAGGUUAAUAUUCCUGUA